rnacentral:rRNA from 1 species
CAAUAGCGUAUAUUAAAGUUGUUGCAGUUAAAAAGCUCGUAGUUGGAUUUCUGGUAGGAGUGACCGUUCCGAACUUGAUUGUUCGUGUAUUGUGUUUUCUCCAGCCAUCCUUGUGGAGAACUUUUCUUGCAUUAAUUUGUAGGGAUUGGGACCCGCAUCGUUUACUGUGAAAAAAUUAGAGUGUUUAAAGCAGGCAAUCGCUUGAAUACAUUAGCAUGGAAUAAUAAGAUAGGACUUUGGUACUAUUUUGUUGGUUUGCAUACCAAAUUAAUGAUCAACAGGAACAGUUUGAGGAUAUUCGUAUGAACAUGUCAGAGGUGAAAUUCUUGGAUUUUGAUCAGACAAACUACUGCGAAAGCAUUUAUCAAGGAUGUUUUCAUUAA